CUGUUGCCUCUUGAGUCUUUUAGCAGCUCUCCAGCAUUUAAGAAGCAGCACGCCCUCAGGUGCUGGGGCUCCCACCACCUUCCUGUUCUGUGAUGCAACACAUCUGCUGGGACCUUGGAAAAACAGGGAAAUGAUUACAAUACUGCCAUAGUCUGCUCCAGAGAGUGAGGUAGGCAGUGUGAGAAAUGUUAAGGAAGAGACAUCAUGGGUCACUGGAGAAAUUCCUGUAACAGGAUUUUGUGACGUGAGGAAGUAUAUACCCAUCAUCUGCCAUGCAUAACAAAAAUGGGAAGAUAAAAUUAACUAGAGGGUGCUGUGGUGGUGUCUCCAAAGCAAACAAUACUGGAUUUGAAUAACUUCAAGUUGGUACCAGCAAACUGCGAGCAAAUGCUGAUGAAGUCAUUUUCUGCAUUCCUGGUCCCAGAAAAAUCUCCAUUGCAAAUCUCUGCCUGUCCACCAUGAAGAAAGGACAGAACUGAGAGAAGUUGGAACAGGAAGUCAUUUACUGGCUGUAUCUUACUGCAACAGUGGACUUGUUUAGGAUCAUACAAAAAGCUUUAUUUUUCUCAGUUCCUUCCUUCUUUCAGCAGUCUCGGUAAUACUUCCCUGAAAAAUUUUAUGCUUGUCAAUUGUACUGUGCUGCUCUUUCAUUAACAGAGAAAUGAAUAUUAUUCUUGUUACAAAAAGAGCUGAAGUCUUAUAUGGGUCACAAAUCCUGUUGCAGUUUCUGGAAAUCAGACCUACUUGUCAGAUCAAAGCAUUUAAAUUCCAGCAAGGUACUCCUCCUUAACUCUGACUUUGUUUUUGCCAAGGCUGCAUAUAUAGCAUAGAGUCAUAUGAGACAAUUUAGGUAUUCUCUCACUAAAUAUUGGUAGUGAUCCAUGUUAGCUGAUAUUUACAUAUUUGUAUUUAAAUGUUGGUGAUGAUGUCUUGUUCUGUUAACCUUUCUGAUAACUAAAAUGAUAGGUUUGUAUUUUAAUGUUGUUUUUACUUUACACCUUACUCAGUUUUUGAUAUUUAUUUUAAACAAAUCCUUUCUUUGCUUCAGCAGCACUGCAACACUAUAUACAAAGUUAUAUUAAAAAAACCCCUAAAUAUAUGUAUUUAUAUAUAUAAACUUGUUAGGUUAGCACAGUGCAGUAAGACCCAUGGAAGUUAAUUCUCACCCCUGAAACAGAAGGUGCCUCUAGGGCUAUUUUAAAAACACAGGUUUAUUUGCACUCUUCUUUCCUCCACUGAGAGGUCUUCCUGAAUUAGUUUGGAUAGUGCUUUCUGAGGAAAGAAUUGGAUUUUUAAUAUUAUUUCUGUGGACAAUAAUUUCUUCAUAAUUAAAGUAUUUUAUUAUUUGAUUCCAAAUGUCGUUUUCCUCUUGAGAUUAAAAGGGAUGGGGAGAUCUCCAAAUGAAGGAAAAAACCCGUAAUUUGAAGUUAAUAUUCAAUUCCAUUCACACUGUUAUGAAUUUUUUUCUUUUUCCUUUUGUGCAAAAAAAAUUAAAAUACUUAAUUACAGUUAAAGUCAAGAUUAACUUCUUCCCACAUGAUUCAGACACUGGUCCCACUAUCCUGACUCCUCAUUAAGGUGUUUUUCUUAGAUCUACUCACAGACAGAGCAGUGGUAUCAGUUCUUGGGCUCUGGCUAGAUGAUCAGAUAGUUGUGAUUGCCAAGAAAGUCUGAUUUUCAAUUUACUAAAAAAAAAAUAAAUUCUUUAUUGCUUGGUCAUUUUUCCAUUGCAGGCAACAACUACUGGAGGGUGUUUUUCCAAGGCUUGCAUUUGAGGUGAUCUAGAAUUCGAUGUUGGAAUAGCUCUAAGCUACCACUGAGGCUCUUGCCUAGGUCAUUGCUUCAUCUUUGUGUGUUUCUGCAGCCCUGGAGCUUAAUCUUUAUAGAACUUCCAGCUGGUGGCAGCUGAAUACCUUCACCUCUCCUACUUCUCCCCAUGUUUUACUUCAUUAAAAGUCCUUUGAUCAAGAGAGCCCAAAGUUUAGAGUGUGUUGCAAAGCUCUUUUUUUCCCCCUUAUGGAGGGAGCUGUCUGGCCCUUGGGGAGGAGAGUCACAUUUUGCAGACAGGGAGUAAAAUGUUUUCUAUCUCUCAGGUGACCCUGGGAUAUUGUCUUUUAUGCAUAAUAUAAUACUCUGUUCACACAAAUAUUUUGAAGUUAGCUCAAAAAGAAAGGUUAAAAAGUAAAUAGAUUAUUUAUGAUUAGUAAUUCUGCCCUGUAUGUAAAUAGUAGAAGAAUAUUGACAUCUCUUAGUGAGGUAGCAAAGAAAAAAAAUUAUAAAUGAGCAUAACAGGAUUAAUAGUGAUGCUUAUCUGGAAGUUGUGGUAACAUGAACAGACUUUUUUAAGAAUGAAGCUUUUUUUCCUGAGGAGCUAAGAUGGAUAACCAGAUUUCUUUGGGAUUUAAAUUACGUAUCUCACUAUUUCUGUAAACACAGUGUGCCCAGUUCUGUUAUGAUAGUUUAUCAUACACUUCUGUUAUGCUGAAUAUUUUUCUCUGAGCUUCAGCCUUGGAACAUGGGUUGUGCUGUUUAAUUUUCAUUAUAAAUGAUUAUGUAGAGCUGCUGAUAUUCACUAAUGAAAAAUCAAGUUCU